UCUCUUGUAGUAUACAGGUUAGCACACGGGUCUGAUAAGCCCGGAGAGGAGGUUCGAUUCCUCCCAAGAGAA